UACGGGGGGGGGCACGCGUUGUUCGGAAUUACUGGGCGUAAAGGGCUCGUAGGCGGCCAACUAAGUCCGACGUGAAAUCCCAAGGCUUAACCUUGGAACUGCGUCGGAUACUGGAUGGCUUGAAUUCGGGAGAGGGAUGCAGAAUUCCAGGUGUAGCGGUGAAAUGCGUAGAUAUCUGGAGGAAUACCGGUGGCGAAGGCGGCAUCCUGGACCGACAUUGACGCUGAGGAGCGAAAGCUAGGGGAGCAAACGGG
rnacentral:rRNA from 1 species